UCAGGAUGAACGCUGGCGGCGUGCUUAACACAUGCAAGUCGAACGAAGCUCCUGAACCAAGGAUUCGUCCAAGGCGAUGGGAAGACUUAGUGGCGGACGGGUGAGUAACGCGUGGGUAACCUGCCGUAUGCAGGGGGACAACAGUUGGAAACGACUGCUAAUACCGCAUAAGCGCACGGUAUUGCAUGAUACAGUGUGAAAAGAUUUAUCGGCAUACGAUGGACCCGCGUCUGAUUAGCUGGUUGGUGAGGUAACGGCCCACCAAGGCGACGAUCAGUAGCCGGCCUGAGAGGGUGAACGGCCACAUUGGGACUGAGACACGGCCCAAACUCCUACGGGAGGCAGCAGUGGGGAAUAUUGCACAAUGGGGGAAACCCUGAUGCAGCCGACGCCGCGUGAGUGAAGAAGUAUCUCGGUAUGUAAAGCUCUAUCAGCAGGGAAGAAAAUGACGGUACCUGACUAAGAAGCCCCGGCUAACUACGUGCCAGCAGCCGC
rnacentral:rRNA from 1 species